AGCGUAGGCGUCUUGUUAAGUCCACAGUUAAAUCUUUCGGCUCAACCGGAAAAUCGUUGUGGAAACUAAUAAGAUUGAGGUAGAUAGGGGGAAGGGGAAUUCCAGGUGGAGCGGUGAAAUGCGUUGAUAUCUGGAGGAACACCAAUGGCGAAGGCACCUUCCUGGGUCUUACCUGACGCUAAGGCUCGAAAGCGUGGGGAGCAAAAC
rnacentral:rRNA from 1 species